rnacentral:lncRNA from 1 species
AGGGGCUCAGGUGCUACAGCUGUCACCCAGAGAGGCCAGAAAACGGAGGGGACCAGCAUGACAAGUGCUGGGGCUCAGGGGAAAUGCAGGAAACAUCAGAGAAGCCAGUAGCAGUCAAGACGAAAUCAAAUCCAGAAACACACAAAUGACAGCCGUUCACAUUUCGAAUGCAAGAGAAUAUUGCUUGCUUUACCCCAGGGAGGAAAUUGUGGCCUUGAUGAUUUCCACCCCUGUAAGAACUCUUAGUUGACCCCCACCCUGCCGGUUUAACUUGAAACACUACAUACUUUGUCUGCAUUUAUUCAGUUGAUUAAGAUUUAUCUUUGUUUGCUAUUGGCUAACUUUGGCCUGGCCUUUCUGGCCCAGGAACCAUGGCUAAAUUUGCAAUACAUGUGCUGGAAAAGGUAGAACAAGGCCUGGUACGUCAGCAAGCUGCCCAUGGGAGGAAGUCUUCUGGCAGACUUUGACCCCAUUAGCAAGAGAUUUCGCUGUCCAAGUUGGUCAUUUGGGAACUGCUAUAAUUACUCUGGCAAAUAAAGAAG